GACGAACGCUGGCGGCGUGCUUAACACAUGCAAGUCGAACGAAGUGGCGAACGGGUGAGUAACGCGUAAUCAACCUGUCCUUCAGAGGGGGACAACAGUUGGAAACGACUGCUAAUACCGCAUACUGAAGGAGGGGAUUGCGUUUGAUUAGUCCGUUGGAGGGGUAACGGCCCACCAAGGCGAUGAUCAGUAGCCUGUCUGAAGGGAUGAACGGCAAAAUUGGGACUGAGACACGGCCCAGGAUCCUACGGGAGGCGGCAGUGGGGAAUCGUCCGCAAUGGACGAAAGUCUGACGGAGCAACGCCGCAUGAGGGAUGACGGCCUUAGGGUUGUAAAGCUCUGUUAAUCAGGACGCGGUACCAGAAAAGAAAGCCACGGCUAACUACGUGCCAGCAGCCGCGGUAAUAC
rnacentral:rRNA from 1 species